rnacentral:rRNA from 1 species
UACGUAGGGGGCUAGCGUUGUCCGGAAUCAUUGGGCGUAAAGCGCGUGUAGGCGGUCCGGUAAGUCCGCUGUGAAAGUCGGGGGCUCAACCCUCGGAUGCCGGUGGAUACUGUCGGGCUUGAGUACGGAAGAGGCGAGUGGAAUUCCUGGUGUAGCGGUGAAAUGCGCAGAUAUCAGGAGGAACACCGGUGGCGAAGGCGGAUCUCUGGGCCUUACCUGACGCUGAGGCGCGAAAGCUAGGGGAGCGAACAGG